rnacentral:lncRNA from 1 species
AAGCCUGUGUCAUGUGAAGAAUUGAGCCGCCCUGGACACAUUCCCAUCCCGAAGGCUUAGCUGUGCAAUGAAUGCGAUCAGCCGCUUUCCUUAUACAUGCCUCAGGAAGGAAGCAUCUUGAUUUAAAAGCUGCUUGUGAUGCUGCAUUGUAGCCUGGACCUU